AGCAGGAGGGCUUAGUGGAAAGAGCAGGGGCUUGGGAGUCAAUGGACGUGGGUUCUAAUCCCACCUCUGCCA
rnacentral:tRNA from 1 species